rnacentral:rRNA from 1 species
GACGAACGCUGGCGGCGUGCUUAACACAUGCAAGUCGAACGCUGAAGCUCAGCUUGCUGGGUGGAUGAGUGGCGAACGGGUGAGUAACACGUGAGUAACCUGCCCUCUGCUUUGGGAUACCGCCCGGAAACGGGUGCUAAUACUGGAUAUUCACAGAUUCUCGCAUGGGGGUUGGUGGAAAGGCUUUUUCUGGUGGAGGAUGGGCUCGCGGCCUAUCAGCUUGUUGGUGGUGUGAUGGCCUACGAAGGCUUUGACGCGUAGCCGGGCUGAGAGGGUGACCGGUCACAUUAGGACUGAGAGACGGCUCAGACGCGUACGGCAGGCAGAAGUGGGGAAUAUUGCACAAUGGGCGAAAGCUGGAUGCAGCGACGCCGCGUGAGGGAUGGAGGCCGUGGGGUUGUAAACGUCUUUCGCUCAGGGACAAGCCGCAGCUUUGGGUUGUGGUGAGGGUAGUGGGUAAAGAAGCUCCGGCUAACUACGUG